UACAGAGGUGGCGAGCGUUGUUCGGAUUCAUUGGGCGUAAAGGGUCCGUAGGCGGUUCGUAAAGUCGGAUGUGAAAUCCUACAGCUCAACUGUAGAACUGCAUUCGAAACUCACGAACUAGAGUGUGAGAGGGGUGAUGGGAAUUCCCAGUGUAAGGGUGAAAUCUGCAGAGAUUGGGAAGAACACCAGUCGCGAAGGCGCAUCACUGGCUCAAUACUGACGCUCAGGGACGAAAGCUAGGGGAGCAAACGGG
rnacentral:rRNA from 1 species